rnacentral:rRNA from 1 species
GACGAACGCUGGCGGCGUGCUUAACACAUGCAAGUCGAACGCUGAAGCUUGGUGCUUGCUCUGGGUGGAUGAGUGGCGAACGGGUGAGUAAUACGUGAGUAACCUGCCCUUGACUCUGGGAUAAGCCUGGGAAACUGGGUCUAAUACUGGAUACGACAUGUCACCGCAUGGUGGUGUGUGGAAAGGGGUUUACUGGUUUUGGAUGGGCUCACGGCCUAUCAGCUUGUUGGUGGGGUAAUGGCUCACCAAGGCGACGACUGGUAGCCGGCCUGAGAGGGUGACCGGCCACCAUGGGACUGCGACACGGCCCAGACUCCUACGGGAGGCAGCAGUGGGGAAUAUUGCACAAUGGGCGGAAGCCUGAUGCAGCGACGCCGCGUGAGGGAUGACGGCCUUCGGGUUGUAAACCUCUUUCAGCACGGAAGAAGCGAAAGUGACGGUACGUGCAGAAGAAGCGCCGGCUAACUACGUG